AUUGAACGCUGGCGGCAGGCCUAACACAUGCAAGUCGAGCGGAUGAAGGGAGCUUGCUCCUGGAUUCAGCGGCGGACGGGUGAGUAAUGCCUAGGAAUCUGCCUGGUAGUGGGGGAUAACGUCCGGAAACGGGCGCUAAUACCGCAUACGUCCUGAGGGAGAAAGUGGGGGAUCUUCGGACCUCACGCUAUCAGAUGAGCCUAGGUCGGAUUAGCUAGUUGGUGGGGUAAAGGCCUACCAAGGCGACGAUCCGUAACUGGUCUGAGAGGAUGAUCAGUCACACUGGAACGGAAACACGGCCCAGACUCCGACGGGAGGCGGCAGUGGGGAAUAUUGGACAAUGGGGGAAGGCUUGAUCCAGCCUUGCCGCGUGUGUGAAGAAGGUCUUCGGAUUGGAAAGCUCUUUAGGUUGGGAGAAAGGGAAGUAAUUUAAUACCUUGCUUUUUGGACGUUACAAAAAAAAAAAGCCCCGGCAAACUUCGUC
rnacentral:rRNA from 1 species